rnacentral:rRNA from 1 species
GACAGAGGUGCCGAGCGUUAGGCGGAAUCACUGGGCUUAAAGCGUGUGUAGGCGGAUUCCUAAGUACCUUGUGAAAUCCCACGGCUCAACCGUGGAACUGCUUGGUAUACUGGGUGUCUUGAGCCAACUAGGGGCUACCGGAACAAAUGGUGGAGCGGUGAAAUGCGUAGAUAUCAUUUGGGACGCCAAUGGUGAAAACAGGUAGCUGGGGUUGUGCUGACGCUGAGACACGAAAGCCAGGGGAGCGAACGGG